GGUUUCUGUAGGUGGACAUGCGGAAGGAUCAUUACCGAGUGAGGGCCCUCUGGGUCCAACCUCCCACCCGUGUUUAUUUUACCUUGUUGCUUCGGCGGGCCCGCCUUAACUGGCCGCCGGGGGGCUCACGCCCCCGGGCCCGCGCCCGCCGAAGACACCCUCGAACUCUGUCUGAAGAUUGUAGUCUGAGUGAAAAUAUAAAUUAUUUAAAACUUUCAACAACGGAUCUCUUGGUUCCGGCAUCGAUGAAGAACGCAGCGAAAUGCGAUACGUAAUGUGAAUUGCAAAUUCAGUGAAUCAUCGAGUCUUUGAACGCACAUUGCGCCCCCUGGUAUUCCGGGGGGCAUGCCUGUCCGAGCGUCAUUGCUGCCCUCAAGCACGGCUUGUGUGUUGGGCCCCGUCCUCCGAUCCCGGGGGACGGGCCCGAAAGGCAGCGGCGGCACCGCGUCCGGUCCUCGAGCGUAUGGGGCUUUGUCACCCGCUCUGUAGGCCCGGCCGGCGCCUGCCGAUCAACCCAAAUUUUUUAUCCAGGU
rnacentral:rRNA from 1 species